rnacentral:rRNA from 1 species
CCUACGGGCGGCAGCAGUGGGGAAUAUUGCACAAUGGGGGAAACCCUGAUGCAGCGACGCCGCGUGAGUGAAGAAGUAUUUCGGUACGUAAAGCUCUAUCAGCAGGGAAGAAAAUGACGGUACCUGACUAAGAAGCCACGGCUAACUACGUGCCAGCAGCCGCGGUAAUACGUAGGGGGCAAGCGUUAUCCGGAUUUACUGGGUGUAAAGGGAGCGUAGACGGCAGCGCAAGUCUGGAGUGAAAUCCCAUGGCUAAACCAUGGAACUGCUUUGGAAACUGUGCAGCUAGAGUGCAGGAGAGGUAAGCGGAAUUCCUGGUGUAGCGGUGAAAUGCGUAGAGAUUAGGAGGAACACCAGUGGCGAAGGCGGCUUACUGGACUGUAACUGACGUUGAGGCUCGAAAGCGUGGGGAGCAAACAGGAUUAGAUACCCCGGUAGUC